rnacentral:rRNA from 1 species
UAAUACGGAGUGUGCUAGCGUUACUCGGAAUCACUGGGCAUAAAGCGCGCGUAGGCGGAGUCUCAAGUCGGUUGUGAAAUCCCUCAGCUUAACUGAGGAGCUGCAGCCGAUACUGUGACUCUUGAGGACGAAAGGGGAGAGCGGAACUUCUGGUGAAGCGGUGAAAUGCGUAGAUAUCAGAAGGAACGCCGGUGGCGAAAGCGGCUCUCUGGUUCGUAUCUGACGCUGAGGCGCGAAAGCUUGGGUAGCAAACGGGAUUAGAUACCCCGGUAGUCCAAGCCGUAAACGAUGAGUACUAGGUAGAGGAGGCCUCGUCGCCUUCUCUGCUGGAGCAAAUGUAUUAAGUACUCCGCCUGGGGAGUACAGUCGCAAGGCCG